AUGAAGAACGCAGCGAAAUGCGAUAAGUAGUGUGAAUUGCAGAAUUCAGCGAAUCAUCGAAUCUUUGAACGCACAUUGCGCCCCUUGGUAUUCCAUGGGGCAUGCCUGUUCGAGCGUCAUUUGUACCUUCAAGCUCUGCUUGGUGUUGGGUGUUUGUCUCGCCUCUGCGUGUAGACUCGCCUCAAAACAAUUGGCAGCCGGCGUAUUGAUUUCGGAGCGCAGUACAUCUCGCGCUUUGCACUCAUAACGACGACGUCCAAAAGUACAUUUUUACACUCUUGACCUCGGAUCAGGUAGGGAUACCCGCUGAACUUAAGCAUAUCAAUAAGCGGAGGA
rnacentral:misc_RNA from 1 species